rnacentral:misc_RNA from 1 species
GAAAUGCGAUAAGUAAUGUGAAUUGCAGAAUUCAGUGAAUCAUCGAAUCUUUGAACGCACAUUGCGCUCGCCAGUAUUCUGGCGAGCAUGCCUGUUCGAGCGUCAUUUCAACCAUCAAGCUCUGCUUGCGUUGGGGAUCCGCGGCUGCCCGCGGUCCCUCAAAAACAGUGGCGGGCUCGCUAGUCACACCGAGCGUAGUAACUCUACAUCGCUAUGGUCGUGCGGCGGGUUCUUGUCGUAAAACCCCCAAUUUCUAAGGUUGACCUCGGAUCAGGUAGGAAUACCCGCUGAACUUAAGC